AGGCAUCAUCAAAUCAGCUGAAGGCUGUAAAAGAAAAAAGACUGAGGUCCCCAGAGGAAGAGGAAAUUCUGCCUCCAGACUCAAGCUGCAACAUCAGCUCUUUCCUAGGUCUUUAGCCUGCUGACUUGCCCUGAAGAUCUCAGACUUAGACUUGCUAACUUUUUGCAUUGAAUCACAACACAUGAGCCAAUUCAUUAAGGAGACCACCUUCAGGCCUCACAAAAAGUACUGAAGAACUGAAACCAGAUCAUGGUAUCGAUGCUGGACCCCUCUUUCACCAUGACGGCUUCUUUACCUCUCCCAAGUUCCUGUUUUCUUACACAUUGUUACAUUUCUUGCCUGCAAUAUAAACCCCUGAUUUUAUUCAGUCAGGGAGAUGGAUGUGGGACUGAGCUUCUGUCUCCUUGGCUGUGGCACCUGAUUAAAGCCUUCUUCCUUGACAAUACUUGGCGUCUCAGUCAUUGGCUUUCUGUGCAGUAAGCAGCAGGACCUAGACCGAACCCCUGGUGUUUUAGUAGCAAUGCUACUAAAAAAGACAAGAUUGUUUUUUGUUUGCUUUCUGUAAAAAACAACAAAAGCAGAGAUAUAUAGAUGUAUACCCAUUCAAACAUUAUUUUCUGUUGAAAAGUUAAUUCAGACUUCUCAUUGACUAAUUGAAUGAUGACAAUCAUUUAAAAUAUGGCCUAUCAUAUAAUUGUUCAUGGAAAAACAUUAUUAACAGGUUGGCCUAUCUUUUUCAAG
rnacentral:lncRNA from 1 species